CCUACGUGCGGCAGCAGUUAGGAAUAUUGGUCAAUGGGCGCGAGCCUAAACCAGCCAAGUAGCGUGAAGGAUGACUGCCCUACGGGUUGUAACCUUCUUUUAUAAAGGAAUAAAGUGAGGCACGUGUGCCUUUUCUUAUUUACUUUAUGAAUAAGGAUCGGCUAACUCCGUGCCAGCAGCCGCGGUACUACGGAGGAUCCGAGCGUUACCCGGAUGUAUUGGGUGUAAAGGGAGCGUAGAUGGGUUGUUAAGUCAGUUGUGAAUGUUUGCGGCUCAACCGUAAAAUUGCAAUUGAUACUGGCAGCCUUGAGUACAGUUGAGGUAGGCGGAAUUCGUGGUGUAGCGGUGAAAUGCGUAGAUAUCACGAAGAACUCCGAUUGCGAAGGCAGCCUACUAAACUGCCACUGACAUUGAUGCUCGAAAGUGUGGGUAUCAAACAGGAUUCGAUACCCGAGUAGUC
rnacentral:rRNA from 1 species